AUUGAACGCUGGCGGCAUGCCUUACACAUGCAAGUCGAACGGUAACGGGCCUUCGGGCGCCGACGAGUGGCGAACGGGUGAGUAAUGCAUCGGAACGUACCUUUCAGUGGGGGAUAACGUAGCGAAAGUUACGCUAAUACCGCAUAUUCUGUGAGCAGGAAAGCAGGGGAUCGCAAGACCUUGCGCUGAUUGAGCGGCCGAUGUCAGAUUAGCUAGUUGGUGAGGUAAAGGCUCACCAAGGCGACGAUCUGUAGCGGGUCUGAGAGGAUGAUCCGCCACACUGGAACUGAGACCCGGGCCAGACUCCUACGGGAGGCAGCAGUGGGGAAUUUUGGACAAUGGGGGCAACCCUGAUCCAGCCAUGCCGCGUGAGUGAAGGAGGCCUUCGGGUUGUAAAGCUCUUUCGGCCGGGAAGAAAUCGUAUGGGCUAAUACCCUGUGCGGAUGACGGUACCGGCAUAAGAAGCACCGGCUAACUACGUGCCAGCAGCCGCCGUAAUAC
rnacentral:rRNA from 1 species